CCUACGGGCGGCAGCAGUGAGGAAUAUUGGUCAAUGGCCGAGAGGCUGAACCAGCCAAGUCGCGUGAGGGAAGACGGCCCUACGGGUUGUAAACCUCUUUUGUCGGGGAGCAAGGCGAGUAACGUGUGACUCAUUGAGAGUACCCGAAGAAAAAGCAUCGGCUAACUCCGUCCAGCAGCCGCGGUAAUACGGAGGAAGCGAGCGGUAUCCGGAUUUAUUGGGGUAAAAGGGUGCGCAGGCGGAGGUGCAAGUAGGCGGUAAAAUUGCGGGGCUCAACCCCGUACUGCCGUUGAAACUGCAUCCCUUGAGUGCGCGAGAAGUAUGCGGAAUGCGUGGUGUAGCGGUGAAAUGCAUAGAUAUCACGCAGAACUCCGAUUGCGAAGGCAGCAUACCGGCGCGCAACUGACGCUCAUGCACGAAAGCGUGGGUAUCGAACAGGAUUAGAUACCCGUGUAGUC
rnacentral:rRNA from 1 species